rnacentral:rRNA from 1 species
GAGGAAUAUUGGACAAUGGAGGCAACUCUGAUCCAGCCAUGCCGCGUGCAGGAAGACUGCCCUAUGGGUUGUAAACUGCUUUUAUACAGGAAGAAACACUCGUACGUGUACGAGCUUGACGGUACUGUAAGAA